rnacentral:rRNA from 1 species
AUGAUCUUGGUGAAACGAGUAGGAAAUUUUUUGUUUUCUGCAACGUUCCCCAACACGGGCAUCUUCGCUAACCCGGUCAAAGAAGAGAUCGACGCCAUCGCUAGGAUCCUUGCCUGUUUUGGGGAUGCAUCAGGCCUCGUCACAAACGUCAGCAAGACCGAGGUGUUCCCCAUUCGCUGCCAGGACAUCGAUCUCCCGGCAAUCCUCUCGGCCUUCCCGGCCAAGCUGGCCUCGUUCCCCGGCCGAUACCUAGGUCUCCCACUACAUACUAGGCGGCUCAGAAGGGUUGACCUCCAACCUCUUCUAGACAAGGCAAUGGGCCGGUUGCCGGGCUAGAAGGGGAAGAACCUGGCGCGACCGGGCAGG